GUCUACAGCCAUGCCACCCUGAACAAGCCUGAUGUCUGAUUUUGGAAGCUAAGCAGGGUUGGGCCUGGUUAGUACUUGGAUGAGAGACCACAAAGGAACAUUAAUCAUAAUAAACA
rnacentral:rRNA from 1 species